CAUUAUUGGUAUUUUGGCUAGAUGUUGUUGUGCUGGCCAGCCCUUUUGGGAGGGCAAUGUGCACACCUCUGGUCAUUUUGUUCCACCUGUGCACUGCCUGUAGACACAAAAGUGUCUAUGACACCACACACACACACUAUCAUGUUGGUAUAUUGCAUGUAUGGAAAAAAUAAAAAUGUACAACUUUCAACAAUGGAUCUCUUGGCUCUCGCAUCGAUGAAGAACACAGCGAAAUGUGAUAAGUAAUGUGAAUUGCAGAAUCCAGUGAAUCAUCGAAUCUUUGAACGCAUCUUGCGCUCCUUGGUAUUCUGAGGAGCAUGCCUGUUUGAGUGUCGUUAAAACUAUCAAAACACUACUUUUCCUUGGGUGUUUUGGACUCUGGGAGUACUCUGCUGUUGCUCUGCUCUGCUUUGAGCCAGCUCUCCUCAAAAGCAAUUAGAUUUGGAGACUUGUCAGUGUGAUAAUUUUGUUUGUGCUGACUUUUGAGUGUCUCUGCUUCUUUGUCCUCUUUGACCUCAAAUCAGGUAGGACUACCCGCUGAACUUAAGCAUAUCAAUAAGCGGAGGAAAAGAAACUAACAAGGAUUCCCCUAGUAACUGCGAGUGAAACGGGAAAAGCUCAAAUUUGAAAUCUGGCAGUCUUUUUUUUCUUCUUUGGCUGUCCGAGUUGUAAUCUAGAGAAGUGCUUACCCGCGCUGGACCAUGUAUAAGUCUCCUGGAAUGGAGCGUCACAGAGGGUGAGAAUCCCGUCUUUGACAUGGACUGCCAGUGUGUUGUGGUGUGCUCUCAAAGAGUCGAGUUGUUUGGGAAUGCAGCUCUAAAUGGGUGGUAAACUCCAUCUAAAGCUAAAUAUUGGCGAGAGACCGAUAGCGAACAAGUACCGUGAGGGAAAGAUGAAAAGGACUUUGGAAAGAGAGUUAAACAGUAUGUGAAAUUGUUGAAAGGGAAACGCUUGAAGUCAGUUAUGUCGGUCUAGGGAUCAGCCUAGCUCUUUUUUGUUGGGUGAAUUUCCUAGUUUGACAGGCCAACAUCAGUUCUGACUGCUGGAAAAGAGCAGAGGGAAUGUGGCACCCUUGGGUGUGUUAUAGCCCUUUGUCAUAUGUGGCGGUCGGGACUGAGGGAUGCAGCGUGCCGUGAGGCUGGGUUCGACC
rnacentral:rRNA from 1 species